CUUACAUGACCCAUUUUAUGUGGGAACCUUCAUCCUUUUGCUCCCUCGAGAUUAACUUUGAUGGUAGGGAAACAAGGGGGAUACUAGUGGUGGUGCAGGCUUUGCGAUUAGAGGGCCUAAUUCCUCCUUAUUUGUAACAAGUGGUGCGCAUUGUAUGAUACUUUGGUGCCAAUAGUAGGGAGUUGAGAAGGGCAUGAGAAGGUCUGAAGGGCUAAAAAGGU
rnacentral:lncRNA from 1 species